rnacentral:lncRNA from 1 species
GAGCAUCCUUCAUAGGACCCACUCCGCUCGAGAAGCAAACAAAUACUCCGCUGGGGAACAAACCAGGCAACUCUUCGGGGAUUAAUCAAUACUGUUCUACUGGGGAAAGCAAACCAGGCAACUCUCUAGUGAAACUACUCGCCGGGGAGUAACAAGACGACUUUACCGGGGAAUGAUAAAGCGACUUCACUGGGAAAGAC